GAGCCACCCGAAACCUCGUCAUUCCCAGKGGAAAUUUGAGGCAGGGUGGCAUGUUCAAAGCACAAGAGACCUCAACUGUCCUGUACCAACAUCGUGSUGAUGCGCACGCGUAGCUGGAAACRGMGUUUGGCCCGUGAUGGGGUCGGAMGCGGGAAACACCCUACGCGGCAGCAUCACAUCCCCCGGCACAGCUUCUCACCUUGCACAGAGCAGCCGCGGGCACUAUGACCAUCGUUUAAGGCAUCUUCCCAUAGACGUUUAGUUGGUGUUUUUAGCAGGAGAGGUGCGUUAUGAAUCCCCAGCAAGCUGAAACGGGGAUCUCACCGCUAUCACGGCAAUCCCAGUUUGACUGACGAUGGGACCCCUAUAAUCUGCCCGCGGACUGCUCCCGCUUGCUGCCGCCCGAGGCCGGGCCCAGCUCCCCCUCCGCUCCCGCAGACCCAGGAGGGGAAAAUACCAGCGGACGAGCUGGGCAGUUCGGGCGCUCGGUAGUGCUGGAGGCAGCUCUCCCGGUCGCACAGGCAGGCGGAGAUGUUUAAGGGUUACAGAAAGGGGGAAAGGACAGGGAAGAAUUUCGCUGUAAAGCGAAGACAUUAAGCUCUUGGCCUGGCUUCCUGAGGGCAGCGCAGUGUGCCAAAGCACUGGUUUCCUGUACGAUCAAGCUCAUCCACUCCGCGGCCCUGCGAUAGGGCCAUGAUGUAAGUGUGGCUGAGCCAAGGCAAACGGAAAAAAACACCGAGCACUCAGAAAGGCAACAGAUUUUAUUAAGAAGUUUAAUUGUUUCUGAGGGUGACAUUUUUCCCCAUCUUGGCGUUCCCCUCGCUGCGGUCAGGCCCAACGCAUUCCUUCACCCACUCCUCUCACCCCACCUCGGCUGUUUUCCAGCGCGGGGGCACCCCGGGGAGCGCGCGUUCAGCUUCCCACGGCACCGGGAGCCGUCUGCGCCGCGCUCGGCUUGCGCGGGCUCGAAGGGCGCGAGGCCACGCAAUGCACGACCGACGGCAGGACUCUCCCAGACAGUUCAGAGCCCCGGGGCAAUCCAAUCGCCGGCCAGUCRCUGACAACUUAAUUCCUGUUGUUCUGCUCCCCACAUCGCACGGCUCCAAAGGCUUUUGCUUCUCCAGUUCCCACUGGCAGGAAUCUGCGUUUUGGGAAUCCCAUAUUCUCCAGGUUGGGUCAAACCAUCCUCAUGAAAAGCCCAAAAUCCAGAAAGAAAUCAGGAAGAUGAGCAGAGGGGUUAAAAAGAAAAUCUCCACAGCUGCUUCCCUGGAACUGGGCAAACACUUCCAAGAGCAGCGUUUCCAAAGCCCAGCAGAGAGCAUCUAAUWAAGUCCUGCGGGCCCUGCGUGGGAGUCCGCGGAGCGAGGUCAGAGCCGGGAGGAAACCCCCCUCGCCGCGCAGGGAAAGUGAAUCACAGCAGAGGCACAGUGGGUGGCUGGCGCUGAAGCUGUUUUCCAUGGCAAGGGAUGGCUGAAGGAGCUCACCACAGCUCCCAAAAGCUCCCUAGCUUUCUGGGGAGAGCAGGGUAAGCUGCUUCCCUCCCGCUUUCCUCUYUCCACGCUGGGUCUUGCAGCUCCAUCCCUGGAAGGAUGCUCCUGGGCGUUUCGGCACAGUCUGCRCUGCAGCACCGUGGCUCUCCUCUCACGGGCCCAGCCCCACGCACCCAGAGCCUUCUCCAAGGAUCCUGCGAAAGAAAAAACACGGCAUUAAYGCAAGGUCCAGGUUGGUUGUAACAAAGCUAAUCGAGAUUCCUCUUUGUUACCAAAUUAAAGGUUUGAAGCAAUGCGUAAAAGAGGAGACACACUAGCAGACCUCAUGACUCCCUUAAGAGCACAAUUCUGCAAAGUUACUUCCAGCACCGGGGCCUUGGAGCUCACCCUAAGUUCAGCAUAGCCAAGGGCCUCCAGAUCACGCUCCACGCUUUGGAGGAUGGAGCCCUCCCCAAGGCCUGGCCCCCAGGGCCAGCGUGGACCAUGGCCGUGUCUGAGCAGGCUGCCGAGGAGCCGGCCGUCAGCAGUGACGUUCGGUGUCCUGCUGAGCCGGGCAGCGCGCAGGCGCCGACGGGAGCGGAGGAUGUGCUGACAACAUCCAUGGGAAAAACAGCCUUACUCAGCCACGUCUCUCGAGAGGGCCGAGAAGCGACAGCGGGCCAAAGGCCGGGCGUGCACGGGCCGGGAUCCCAGCGGGUCCACGCUGGUCAGAUCGGGGUUCAGAUCCGAUAGGACAAACAAAACGACAGCAUCUGGGAACCCCCAGGAAGGGAAAGCAUCUCAUUCUGCUCRCGUGUACGUGGGUCAUGUUAUCCCAAGGGAUAAGAAGACCAAGU
ensembl:lncRNA